rnacentral:rRNA from 1 species
CCUACGGGUGGCUGCAGUCGAGAAUCAUUCACAAUGGGGGAAACCCUGAUGGUGCGACGCCGCGUGGGGGAAUGAAGGUCUUCGGAUUGUAAACUCCUGUCAUGUGGGAGCAAAUUAAAAAGAUAGUACCACACGAGGAAUAGACGUCUAAUUCUGUGCAAGCAGCCGCGGUAAUACGGAGUUCUCAAGCGUUGUUCGGAAUUACGGGGCGUAAAGCGUGCGUAGGCUGUUUCUUAAGUCGUGUGUGAAAGGCGGGGGCUAAAACGGAGGAGGGAACAGAUUACGGGGGACCUGAGGGAAGGAGGGGGAACCGGAAUUCUAGGUGUAGCAGUGAAAUGCGUAGAUAUCGAGAGGAACACUCGUGGCGAAGGCGGGUUCCUGGACAUUAACUGACGCUGAGGCACGAAGGCCAGGGGAGCGAAAGGGAUUAGAUACCCCUGUAGUC